CCUACUUUGUUCCUCAUUCUUUCAUAUUUCUCAAUGUGGGAAACCCUGAAGCAGCAACGCCGCGUGGAGGAUGAAGGUUUUCGGAUUGUAAACUUCUUUUGUUAGAGAAGAUAAUGACGUUGUCUAACGAAUAAGCAUCGGCUAAAUCCGUGCCCGCAGCCGCGGUGAUACGGGGGAUGCAAGGGUUCUCCCGAGUUAUUGGGUUUAAAGGGUGCGUAGGCUGUGAGGUAAGUCAGCGGUGAAAUACCCUCGCUCAACGGGGUGAAGUGCCAUUGAUACUGCUGUGCUGGAGUGCGGAUGACGUGGGUGGAAUGUGUGGUGUAGCGGUGAAAUGCAUAGAUAUUAGGCAGAACACCAAUUGCGAAGGCAUCUCACGGAUCCGCGAUUGACGCUGAUGCACGAAAGCGUGGGGAUCAAACAGGAUUAGAUACCCUUGUAGUC
rnacentral:rRNA from 1 species